CCUGUCCAAUCAUUUGAGACCAGUGCCAUACUGAAGUAUGGAAAACAAUCCUGAUAAUUACCUGACAGUUUUUCUAGUUUUCCUAUAGUAGAUGUUCUGAUCUAGUCCUGAUACUGUGCUUUACUAACACUGGGAUCUCUGAAGCAGUGGGGUUCAUUUAACACCACACGGGGUGACAGAUUAUCUGUGGGCUAUCUAGUGAUCUAGUCUGAACCUCUGAUCAAGUCAAGUUAUUUCUAGUUCUAUCUCUGGUCCAGGAUGUUAGUGUUUGUUCCUUCACUAACCCACACAGCCACACUAAUGCCUGGGACCAAAGCUACUCUAUUCCUUGGGGAGCCACAGUGCCCGAAUGGCGCCCCCUUGUGAUUGUAAUGUCCCCUCUUGCAGGUAACACAACAUAUCACAUCUUUCGGGAGUUCUCGCUCAUGGCGUCCCACCAGCCCGAGAAGCUAAAGAGGAGAAUACACUUCAACAACUACCAGACGUAGUCCAUGAUGACAUCAAAACAUACUUCAGCCACUGCCUGAGGUAGUCAAAGACUCCUAACUUGACUCAGACUCUGAAGUGACUUACUAACAAGUCUCUGUGUCCUACACCUUAAAUCUAUUUAGGUAGAGCACCACCUUCAAGACAGAUCUAUUUAGGUAGAGAACCACCACCAAGACAGAUCUAUUUAGGUAGAGAACCAUCAAGACAUAUCUAUUUAGGUAGAGCACCAUCAAGACAGAUCUAUUUAGGUAGAGCACCACCAUCAAGACAGAUCUAUUUAGGUAGAGCAUCACCAUCAAAACAGAUCUAUUUAGGUAGAGCACCAUCAAGACAGAUCUAUUUAGGUAGAGCACCAUCAAGACAGAUCUAUUUAGGUAGAGCACCAUCAAGACAGAUCUAUUUAGGUAGAGCACCAUCAAGACAGAUCUAUUUAGGUAGAGCACCAUCAAGACAGAUCUAUUUAGGUAGAGCACCAUCAAGACAGAUCUAUUUAGGUAGAGCACCACCAUCAUGACCACCAUUUUUCUUCAAUCAGUUUUGAUAUAAACAUUUCAGUAGGUGUCCUGGUGUUCUCCUAGCAUGCGAUCAUUGCUCUCAGUUCCAUUGCAUUACACACAAGAGUCAUUAUUGGACGAAGGCGUCUUCUGUACGGGAAAGUUUUGUUAAGAGUCGCGACGCUCAGGCUGAACAUUUAACACGCAUCGUUUGCGGUAUGGUUUUGCAAGCAUAAGGACCUUAUCUUUAUUUUUUAAGGUUAAAUUGAUACACACCUUUUAUAGGGUUCACACACGGCCGUAUCUCCAUUUAAGCACUAGUUGAGGGAAAACAUACCGAAGACAGGGUGGACUACCUGUGCUAAUUAGUUGUCAGCGUCUCCAAACACCUGUGUGUAAAUGACAAACGGUGUUGUCACUGAAAAAUACUGUCGGCUGCAACUGUGUUGAAACCGGUUAAAAAGGAGUACAGUGUUUAUUUUGUGUUUGGGAAAUUAUUUAGAGGGAAUUCAUGUUUCUAGAACCGUACUGCAAUUGAGGAUCGAUUCACCUUUAAACAGAACAUGUAAGGUCAUUGGACUAAGGAGUAACGCUAGGUUUCUUUAGUUUAUUAUUGGGCGAUUGUUCCCUUAGUUAGGGAGAGUGAAAAAUAGCCAUUUCAAUUCAUGCUUGAUUUAUAUUACUGUUUGUACAGACACACACAAAGGUACACACACAUGCAUACUGCAUACAUGAUAUUGUUGUAUGGUGGUAUUAAACAUUUUGUACUGUA